UCGUGGACUUUCAAUACACGCGGCUAUACUUAUAUAUAGCAUACCGAGUGCAAAAGUUUAUAAAACUUAAAAGUGCAAAAGUUUAUAAAACUUGAAAGUGCAAAAAACGUAAAAUCUUGUAAAUAAAAGAUUAUCGCUGUUCGCGAAAUAAAAUUCAAUUACGUUUGAAAAGAAAAAAAAUAUUUCACAAACGUUGCUAUUGCGACGAUAACACAACCUCAAAAUAUCAGUAUCAAUUCACAAAAUUCAUGUUGUGUACCAUAUAAUAUCUUCGAUCGAGUAUAACCAGCGAAAUAAUGGAAAUGGAUUCGCAGGAUAUAGGCCGACAAGCAGUAAAUAAAAAAAGCAACAUGAUAAGCUAUCACGUUGCGACGACUAUCGACGAACAGCCGGAAAAGAAACGUCCGUAAACCAUUGAUAAUAAGAUCACAAAAACAGAAAACGAUGAAAAUAAUAAAAAGUCGACAAACAAGCCGACUGCUGGAAGUAACAGCACUCAGAUCGGUGAUGAACGAUACAGAUCUGUAGAUGGCAACGAAGAGAUGAAGUCCAUUACUUUACUGUUAACUUCUGAGAAAGACAAAAUGCGGCAAGAGUUGGAUAUUGAAAUAAACGCAUUGCGGAAGUCAUUCAUGGACAGUUGCAAACAAUUUGAGAAAUUUAUGAAAACAUUUGAUAAAAAAUAUGCGGCAUUGCAGAACAUAUUAGCAGGAAGAAACAUGCUGCUCCAAGGAUUGGCGAUGAUGGAAAGAUUAAUGGAGAAUGAUGUUGUAACAAUCGAUGACAAUGCUAUGACCAAGAAUAUUCAUGAUGAAAUCGAAAUAAUCAUACCUUGUAAAAGUGAAACGACACAAAAUGAAGAGAUAGAGGUAAAUGCCCGUGAAGUUAUAGCAGAAAAUAGUAAACCGAACAACUCAGCAUCACUGCAGGUACAUGAGCCAACUAGCGGAAUAAACGAUGACGACGUAAAGAUCAUGUAAAAAACAGGAACAGAUACUCUCUGUAAUAUUAAACAUCAGAUGUUUAUUCUCAUCCUAACUCUUCGAUGAUAUUCGUUAUCGGAAUUCGGAACAUAAUACCUGAAGUUGCGAAUUUAUGCGUGUUGAUAUAUGCAAUCGAACUCAGCAUUCCAUAAGAUUUUCAAUCUACAAAAAGUGCAUGGAGCUUUUUCGCACCAUUUCGCUUAUAAAAAAAUAUAUAGAGUGUAUAAGUGCGUUUCUAAU